UACACGACCGUACCGCAAACCGACACUGGUGCGCGAGAUGAGUAUUCUAAGGCGCUUGAGAGAACUCAGGAGAAGGAACUCGGCAAAUUGACACCGUAACUUCGGAAGAAGGUGUGCCUUUAGUAGGUGAAGUCCCUCGCGGAUGGAGCCCAAUGAGGUUGCAAAGAAUCGGUGGCUGCGACUGUUUAUUAAAAACACAGCACUCUGCAAACACGAAAGUGGACGUAUAGGGUGUGACGCCUGCCCGGUGCUGGAAGAUUAAAUGAUGGGGUGCAAGCUCUUGAUUGAAGUCCCAGUAAACGGCGGCCGUAACAAUAACGGUCCUAAGGUAGCGAAAUUCCUUGUCGGGUAAGUUCCGACCUGCACGAAUGGCGUAACGAUGGCCACACUGUCUCCUCCUGAGACUCAGCGAAGUUGAAAUGUUUGUGAUGAUGCAAUCUCCCCGCGGAAAGACGGAAAGACCCCAUGAACCUUUACUGUAGCUUUGUAUUGGACUUUGAACAGAUCUGUGUAGGAUAGGUGGGAGGCUUUGAAGCAGGGUCGCUAGAUCUUGUGGAGCCAACGUUGAAAUACCACCCUGGUGUGUUUGAGGUUCUAACCUAGGCCCGUAAUCCGGGUUGGGGACAGUGCAUGGUAGGCAGUUUGACUGGGGCGGUCUCCUCCCAAAGUGUAACGGAGGAGUUCGAAGGUACGCUAGUUACGGUCGGACAUCGUGACGAUAGUGCAAUGGCAUAAGCGUGCUUAACUGCGAGACUGACAAGUCGAGCAGAUGCGAAAGCAGGACAUAGUGAUCCGGUGGUUCUGUAUGGAAGGGCCAUCGCUCAACGGAUAAAAGGUACUCUGGGGAUAACAGGCUGAUACCGCCCAAGAGUUCAUAUCGACGGCGGUGUUUGGCACCUCGAUGUCGGCUCAUCUCAUCCUGGGGCUGUAGCCGGUCCCAAGGGUAUGGCUGUUCGCCAUUUAAAGAGGUACGUGAGCUGGGUUUAAAACGUCGUGAGACAGUUUGGUCCCUAUCUUCCGUGGGCGCUGCAGAUUUGAGGAAGCCUGCUCCUAGUACGAGAGGACCGGAGUGGACGCACCUCUGGUGUAUCGGUUGUCACGCCAGUGGCAUUGCCGAGUAGCUAUGUGCGGAAGAGAUAACCGCUGAAAGCAUCUAAGCGGGAAACUCGUUUCAAGAUGAGAUCUGCCGGGGCCUUGAGCCCCCUGAGGAGUCGUUCAAGACCAGGACGUUGAUAGGUCGGGUGUGGAAGCGCAGUAAUGCGUUAAGCUAACCGAUACUAAUUGCUCGUGCGGCUUGACCCU
rnacentral:rRNA from 1 species